UACGUAGGCGGUCUGAUAAGUCAGGUGUAAAAGGCAAUGGCUCAACCAUUGUAAGCACUUGAAACUGUCGGACUUGAGUACAGGAGAGGUAAGUGGAAUUCCUAGUGUAGCGGUGAAAUGCGUAGAUAUUAGGAGGAACACCAGUGGCGAAGGCGACUUACUGGACUGUAACUGACGCUGAGGUACGAAAGCGUGGGGAGCGAACA
rnacentral:rRNA from 1 species